GAGGGCAUAGCUCAGUGGUAGAGCGCAUUGCCUAGCAUGCACAAGGUCCUGGGUUCAAUCCCCAGCAUCUCCA
rnacentral:tRNA from 1 species